CCUAAUGUGUCUUUAGUCCUACAUACCAGAAUGCACAUAUUUAUAGAAAGGAAAAACUUCCAGAAUUCACUCUUGUGGAAAAGGAAUAAGGAACCACAUUAAGGGACAGCACUGCUGUAAGAAGACAGAAAGAUCCAUCAGAUUAAUCUGCCAGCCUGCUUGUAAGAUGGCAUUUCAUGCUAGGCAUUGCCUGCUGUUUUCUGUUGUGGAUGUAACUCAUUUGAUAUUGCAGGUAGAAAUUAGAGUGGGAAGUAAAUUCAGAUCUCAUUGCCCAAAUGCUGUUUUGUUCUUCUCAGGAAGAGAGGAAAAAUCUCAGGACAAGAAAUUUGUUUUGAAAAGAGUGUGUGUGUGUGUACUUGUUUACUAUCACCUGUGCAAAUGUGGUUGAUACUUAUAGAAUUAGACCACUAGGAGCUUCUUCUUGUAAGACUGACCCACUCUGACAUCACAAGGCAUCAUCUCUAGGUCCCAGAAUUGGGCCAUGAAAUUUCACACAGCCAUAUUACCCAGAAUAUCAAGGCAGAUAAUCCACAAUAUCUGCUUUGGAUUAUCUGAGUCCACACUGCCAUAUAAUCUGGUUCAAUGUGGAUUUUAUGCAGCUGUGUGGAAAGGGCCUCAGAUUCUCAUGUAGUCCUCAUUUGACAACCUAAUGGUACAAUUGUUGAAAGAGGUGGGCUUCAGGUUUGUUGACAUUAACUGCCUUCAUAUUGAUUUUACUUAAUGGCAACCCUAUGAAUGAAAUGCCUGCAAGGUAACCUGUCAUCAACAGCUCUGCUAGGGUCUUGCAGGCUCAGGUUGUGACCUUGAUUGAAUCUGUCCAUCUGAAACAUGGUCUUCCACUUUUCCUACUGUCUUGCCAAGUAUUAUUGUAUUUCUAGUGAGUCAUGCCUUCCCAUGAUAUGACCAAAAUACGGAAGUCUCAGCUAAGUCAUCUUGGCCUCUACGAAAAGUUUAGGCUUGUUUUUUUUAGGACCUAUUUAUUUGCCUUUAUUUAGCUUCAACUACGGGUCUGUUUUUGUGCUAAAAGGAGAGGGUUAAUGCCAAGGAAGCAAAGUGGGAUCUAGAGCCAAGAGUUAGAGCUAAGAAACGAUCAAACACAUAUGAGCUGAAAAUUGUUUAUUUAAUUUUUAUUCUGUGUAUGUCCCAAUACCUGAAGCAGCUCGCAAUGUAAGUUAAAGCGAUUAUCUUCUUUCUUUCAAGGCAAUUUCCACAAGUGAAAGUUUGAUUCCAAAAUGCCAUGGUUCCCUUUGCCUGGUAUUGUUAAUGUGUCCAUGGCCUUAUUGUUCUUCCUCUUUGUUUCCAGCUUAGCUGCAACCACAAAGGGAGAAAUCAAGAAGGAAGACCGGGUGGCAGUGCUGGCUACUGCGGAGCUGCCUGCUAAAACACUUGAUCUGGCAGCAUUUAACCUGACUGAGCUGGUCAAUGGGAUGUUAAAUACAGCUCUCAAAGGCAACAAUAGGUUCUUCUCUUUGCUGAGUAUUACAUCAUACAGCUCAUAUGCUUUCCAUAAGGUCUCCAUAGUCAUCUACAACAUAUCCAACCUGAAGAAUGUUGACCCCACUAAGUUUCCCAUGAGGUACUGCUAUUGUUUAAACAACAGAACUAAUGAUUUGACAGAUUUCACAGCUUUGCUCGUUGACAUUGUUGGAAACAGCACCAAUUAUCUGACUGAAAUCUUUAAGUCGACUUCCAUUUUAUCUGUGACCCAGAGUAACGACACAGACUGUGUCUAUAUUUGUGUUAUGUCGGGUCGCACAGGCAGAAAUGUGUCCGAAUUAUGGGAAGCAAUUGAAAAAUCUCCGGUUAUUAAUUACACCUUUUCUGGUAAUGUGUCUGAUCUCUUGGAUUUAAACUUGAUCCAUCCUGGUUGGAAGCCUUUCUGGGAAGAUGCUGACAAGGUUUUAAGCGAUAAUGCAAAGGGCACAUGGACAUUUAAAACUACAAAGAUGCCUAUUUGGGCACAGAAUGCUCCCUUGAAAGAAAAGGAGAAGCUCCUUAUCCAUCAUCCCAUAUUCGUGGAGUCUGCAAGUUUGAAAGGCUCUGAAAUUCCCCUGGCACGGUUACCUUCAUGGCUGCAGACUACGGCCUUGAAGAGAUAUGACAUCCCAUCUGUUGAAGCAUCAUCUGCUCCUCCUGCAGCUACAACACUACCUCUUGCUCCUGCAGAAAGUUAUGAAAGUUCCCCUGAGGAUCCAACAACACAUACUCCAAAGAGACCUGCAAAAACCUGGACCAUUGCUAGGAAAGAAGAUGCAACCACUUCCUCACAGUUCACCAUGUGGCCAAAGACGUCUGGAUUGAAAGGCUCUGAUGUGUCAUCUUUCCAAGUCUCCUGGCUUGACACUAAUGCUCUAAAAGACUGGAAAGUUUCCCCCAUCCAACUGGUUUCUUCCUCUGCUCCUUUGUCAAGCCAUGGCAUUCCAUCUGGAACACAACCCAUACCAACAACAGGUGUUCCUGUGCCAUUGGCUUCCCCAUCUACUGAACAAGAACAAGAUGCAUUGAAGACCCAUCCUUCCCCUUUGGGAACCUAUACCCUCUUGACACAGCUGGACCCUUCUAAAACCACCAAACCCCCUCGUCAAAAGCAGACAGUGGCGGAAAAUGGACGUUUACCUGUACUACCUACAUCUCCUCAAAGGCCUGGCAUGUUACUGAAGGUGCAUUCCAGAUGCCCACAGACAAUCAAGAAAGGGAGCUCUGUGACUACACCAUCCGUCCCGGUUCAGAGGAUAAACCCUUGCGUGAUGGAGCUGUGCAAAUUUUAUCAGCAGUGUCUUUGUUCAAGGGACAGAAGCUACUCAAGAGAAGAUGCUAUAAGGUUCUGCAUUGAAAACUAUUCUUGGUUCUGGAAAAACGCAAUGUAUGUUUGUGAAAAAGUCAAAAGAACAGCUUAUUCCAAGACUUUGAAGCAAAAAUGCCUUGCAAGCAUUUGCCGAUCUAUUUAAAACCUCAAGAGGAGCCAUGGGUUACAAGAAGGCUUGCAUCAGUUCUUAGGUUUGAAUGCCUGAUGAUACAACACAUGGGAGAACAAAGACAUGGAAGACAUUUUUCACUUGUAAAAUCGUUUUUUCUCUUCCCUGUAAUGCUUAAACCAAGUUUGAUAACUAAUAGAAGGUGAAAUUGAAAUCAGAAACCUGUAUUGUAAUGAAAUAUUUUGGAUUUAUUUGUAUAUUUCUUUUGAUAAAACAUUUGUUAGUUUUGCAAGCCAUGGAUUGUUUGAUUGUGUUUGAAAUAGCAUUGAAGCCAAUUCAAAUUAAAAACAAAAACUCAGAAAUGUAAGACUUAUAUUGCAGUAAUGUCUUGAAGAUUUUGUGGGAUUUUUUGUUUUGUUUUGGUGCCUUUUAAAAAAUCAGGCAUAUAUUUAAUAGAAUUCAUGCUAAAGCUGUAUGUGGUUAUAGUAAGAUAUUAUUAUUAUGGAACAAUGAUUUUGAAGCCAUUUGAUAUAUAGACUGGCAGUCUUUCCUCUUAAGCACGCCAGAAACUGGUAACAUAUAUAUUACCUGAAACUAUCCAUAACUGUCCAUCAAAAGUCUGUGGUCCAGCACCAGUCCACAAACAACCACAUUGAGUAGCAUUGGUAUAGAGUUUAUGAUAUACAGUUCAUGAAUAUGAACAGCUUCAUUGUAUGUAAUUGUGUUUUAAAGGCAUGGACCAUUGAUCUAUUUAGCUCCAUCUGGUUUAGACUAGAAAUGGGGAAUUGCUUGGCCUAUCAAUUAUUUUUGAACUACAACUUCCAUCUUACACCUUUUGCAGUGCAUGCAUUCACUAGUAAAAGACCCUUCAGAGCUCUGUUUAAAACUUUCCAGCAAAGGUGAGUCCAUCACCUUCUGAGUUAGU